rnacentral:rRNA from 1 species
UAGCUUGCUACUUGCUGACGACCGGCGCACGGGUGCGUAACGCGUAUAGAAUCUACCUUGUACUAGGGGAUAGCCUUUGGAAACGAAGAUUAAUACCCUAUAGUAAGUAUUUAUGGCAUCAUUUAUACUUUAAAGGUUACGGUACAAGAUGACUAUGCGUCCUAUUAGUUUGUUGGUGAGGUAACGGCUCACCAAGACUUCGAUAGGUAGGGGCCCUGAGAGGGGGAUCCCCCACACUGGUACUGAGACACGGACCAGACUCCUACGGGAGGCAGCAGUGAGGAAUAUUGGACAAUGGAGGCAACUCUGAUCCAGCCAUGCCGCGUGCAGGAUGACGGCCCUAUGGGUUGUAAACUGCUUUUAUGUAGGAAGAAACACUCUCACGUGUGAGAGCUUGACGGUACUACAAGAAUAAGGACCGGCUAACUCCGUGCCAGCAGCCGCGGUAAUACGGAGGGUCCAAGCGUUAUCCGGAAUCAUUGGGUUUAAAGGGUCCGUAGGCGGGCUAUUAAGUCAGAGGUGAAAGUUUGCAGCUCAACUGUAAAAUUGCCUUUGAAACUGGUAGUCUUGAAUUAUUAUGAAGUGGUUAGAAUAAGUAGUGUAGCGGUGAAAUGCAUAGAUAUUACUUAGAAUACCAAUUGCGAAGGCAGAUCACUAAUAAUAUAUUGACGCUGAGGGACGAAAGCGUGGGGAGCGAACAGGAUUAGAUACCCUGGUAGUCCACGCCGUAAACGAUGGAUACUAGCUGUUCGGAUUUAUCUGAGUGGCUAAGCGAAAGUGAUAAGUUCCCACUGGGGAGU